AUUGAACGCUGGCGGCAGGCCUAACACAUGCAAGUCGAGCGGAUGAGUGGAGCUUGCUCCAUGAUUCAGCGGCGGACGGGUGAGUAAUGCCUAGGAAUCUGCCUGGUAGUGGGGGACAACGUUUCGAAAGGAACGCUAAUACCGCAUACGUCCUACGGGAGAAAGUGGGGGAUCUUCGGACCUCACGCUAUCAGAUGAGCCUAGGUCGGAUUAGCUAGUUGGUGAGGUAAAGGCUCACCAAGGCGACGGUCCGUAACUGGUCUGAGAGGAUGAUCAGUCACACUGGAACUGAGACACGGUCCAGACUCCUACGGGAGGCAGCAGUGGGGAAUAUUGGACAAUGGGCGAAAGCCUGAUCCAGCCAUGCCGCGUGUGUGAAGAAGGUCUUCGGAUUGUAAAGCACUUUAAGUUGGGAGGAAGGGCAGUAAGUUAAUACCUUGCUGUUUUGACGUUACCAACAGAAUAAGCACCGGCUAACUUCGUGCCAGCAGCCGCGGUAAGAC
rnacentral:rRNA from 1 species